rnacentral:tRNA from 1 species
GGACCAUUAGCUCAGCAGGAUAGAGCGUCCGAUUCCUAAUCGGAAGGCCACAGGUUCGAAUCCUGUAUGGUCCA